rnacentral:rRNA from 1 species
UACGGGGGGGGCAAGCGUUGUUCGGAAUUACUGGGCGUAAAGGGCUCGUAGGCGGCCAACUAAGUCAAACGUGAAAUCCCUCGGCUUAACCGGGGAACUGCGCUUGAUACUGGAUGGCUUGAGAUUGGGAGAGGGAUGCGGAAUUCCAGGUGUAGCGGUGAAAUGCGUAGAUAUCUGGAGGAACACCGGUGGCGAAGGCGACAUCCUGGACCGGCAUUGACGCUGAGGCGCGAAAGCCAGGGGAGCAAACGGG